UACGUAGGGUCCGAGCGUUGUCCGGAAUUAUUGGGCGUAAAGAGCUCGUAGGCGGUUUGUCGCGUCUGCUGUGAAAUCCCGAGGCUCAACCUCGGGCCUGCAGUGGGUACGGGCAGACUGGAGUGCGGUAGGGGAGAAUGGAAUUCCUGGUGUAGCGGUGAAAUGCGCAGAUAUCAGGAGGAACACCGGUGGCGAAGGCGGGUCUCUGGGCCGUAACUGACGCUGAGGAGCGAAAGCGUGGGGAGCGAACAGG
rnacentral:rRNA from 1 species